AGUGAACGCUGGCGGCAGGCCUAACACAUGCAAGUCGAGCGGCAGCGCGGGGGCAACCCUGGCGGAGAGCGGCGGACGGGUGAGGAAUUCGUCGGAAUCUGCCUUUUUGUGGGGGAUAACGUGGGGAAACUGACGCUAAUACCGCAUACGUCCUACGGGCGUAAGGGGGGGACCGCAAGACCUCACGCAGAAAGAUGAGCCGACGACCGAUUAGCUAGUUGGUGGGGUAAAGGCCCACCAAGGCGACGAUCGGUAGCUGGUCUGAGAGGAUGAUCAGCCAAACUGGAACUGGGAAACGGCCCAGCUUCCAACGGGAGGCAGAGGGGGGGAAUUUUGGCCAAUGGGGGCAAGCUGGUCCCAGCAAUGCCGGGUGGGUGAAGAAGGCCUUCGGGUGGUAAACCCUUUUUGUCCGGAAAGAAAGCACCGGGGUUAAACCCCGCGGGUGAGGACGGUACCGAAGAAUAAGCACCGGCUAACUUCGUG
rnacentral:rRNA from 1 species